UAUUCUGCCCCAUGGGGAAGGAUGAGAAGCUUCGACUAAGGUUCGACUCGAGCGAAGCGAGAGAACGUUGCCGCAGGCAAUGGCCCGAAGGCGAGGCGCUUUAGCGCCGAGUAAUCCUUCCCCCACCACUG
rnacentral:sRNA from 3 species